GCGGCCCCCGCGCCCGCGCCUGCGCCCGUCACUAACAAUGUAAUUAUAGGGAGCCAAUGGCGCCGCGCCACCGCGCACGCCACGUGCACUGACAAAUAGUCGAGCGGCGCGACGGGCGCAGCGGGUGCGCGGGGGGGUUCGCUGCGGACUCCGUUGGCGCGCACGCCCGUCACCUUCAACGCAUCACAAGUCGCCAAAGCGAAACUACAAGCAGCCUUAUCAGAAGAGGGGAGCGGAUUGAGCGGCGGGAGCGUGUCCAGCGGGGGAGGAGCGGGAGUGAGCGGCCGGUACUGGGGGAGCAAACUGCCGCACCUGCCCGCGCCGUCCUAGCGGCCGCCUUCCGCGCGGCGCCUUGCUAAGUUGGUGUGUUUCAGGUGUCGUCGCUAGAGGCCCCGCGACGGGCCCCCGGUGCGGGCCCCGCUCGACUUGAACUCGAGCGCCGCAGUCUCGAUCUCGAACGAGAGCUCCGCGCCGAACGCGACUCGGACGCCUCGCUCGACGACCGAGACCAUCUUGUUUGAUCUCGGGGCUCCAAACGAACCCACCCGACCCAAGUGCCCUCUAGACAAUGAAACCCGGGGCCGCACACGCGUUCAGUCCGCCCCCGUGCCCUCUGGUUCAGUAGCGUUUUCAGCGCCAUCUAUCGUCCAAUUACGUAUUGAUUGACUAUGUGCGUGAUAAGUGUUAAUGUAGCUGUCUAAACGUUCUUGUGUUAAUUGUUUCACCAUUGCCUCUCGCUUUACAGACUUGUUUAGAAUAAACUACUUUACGUAGAUGACUUUUAAAUUUAAUUAUUUUAAUGCUGGCAACACUGAACACCCGUUUUGGUUGUUCAUCUUGAUUCCGUUCAAAUGGCGCGCUCUAUAAUUAUUAUUAAUAUUGACCACUACCCGUGUCUUUGAAUCGAAUCAACAUAUAAAAUUGUGCCUGUACCGUAUACUGUUUUACAUGUUCCUAUUUUAAAUCUACUCCUAAUGUUACAUGGGGCAUGAAUUUAUAGAAUAGACUGGUUAAUAAUUGUAACAAGGAUAGAUAGUACAUUAGGUACUAUAGUCUCUUUCGCUCUAUUGGGCAACAAUUGAGUAGUUUGUUUUAUAAAUUUGUGUCAAGGCAAUGGUGAGCAUGUGUGAAAGUGUAUAAGACUCAAAUUCGCUUGGCGGCGUGCGUUCAAAAGAAUCUAGUGCGUAGCGGCAAAAUUGAUCUCAAUAUAAUAAAGACUACGAAGUGAUUGCGGACAUUUUAGUGGAAUUGUACGUGUUAUAACGAGUUUUACUGUUUUUUCUAUGUAUUAUACAUUUAACAAUUGUAUGGAGGUUCGAUGUAUCUAGUGCCUGCUAAUGGUCUUAGUGUUAGGAACCCCCGACCACUUAAGGUAACUCUUUAAAUAUUUUACCGAACGACUUGAACUUCUCGAGAGACAAAAACAUUAUUGUAAAUUCGUAGAGUCUUGUCGCGACGCUAUGCAAGAUUUUGACUGAAUUUUAAGUUUUUUUUUAAAUCGCAAUAUUUCUACGUUCUUCGAAAAGUCUCUCGUGGAGUGUUAGUGUAAGCGAAAUAUUAUUAAUGUGUGUGACAAAGCGAUUUUCUACUGAAGCGUAAAUUUUAAUUUUGUAAUUCUACUAAGUAAUUCUUGUAGUGAGAAGUGAUAUCGUUGUAAUUAUUAGCGAAACUGUGACCUUAUUAUCGGAAUUAAUGGAUGUGAGGGUAGAUAGUCAAGGCCUUCUUGUUAAGCUGAGCACUGCGUUACGUUCGCGUAUAAGGGUUCGACCACACGGGCGGCAGUAACGCUCAACGAUCUACAGUGCGGUCGCGAAAAAGUAAUAUUGCUUUGUUAAAUUUUCAAUAUUAUUCACUGCACUUAAAUUGCCACUUUUAUCGGAAUAAGUGACGGAACAACCAUAUUGGCCACCCUCAUGAUAAGCAGCAUUAUCUGCUUAUAAAUGGGUUUUGUAAAACUAGCUAAGGCGUAGCAUGAUGCGCUUGGUCACAUGUCCCCGCGAUCGUGAGUAGUGACUAUUUAAGUGUGGAAACAAUCUAAAAGAAUUCUCUCGUACAACCUUUUGAGUCUCUCUCCUACAGGGACCGACAUAGUAACGGCGUAAAAUUAUUGUACUUUCAGUGACAGUGCAGUCAUUCACCGAGAUACAAACACUCUGCACCGCGACCGCAUUUACAUAAUUUGUGAAAAUUACAUUAUACUUGCCAUUUGUCGUUCGAGAAUAAUAAUAAUAAUAACUUAGCACUUAUUAAAUGCUUGUUCAAGCUAUACACUUUUAACAAGUCGUAUAUUAAUAUAAUUAUUAUAUGUACCUAUAUGUUUUGUCCGUCACAUAUAUAAGAGACAAUGAUGAUAAUAAUAGUUUAAUGAAGCGGUAAUUCUAAAUAUGGUGCUUAUUGAAAAGUACCACUCAUAAACCUAAUGUAGGCUUUGUUUAGAAAUUGUAUAUAUAAUUGACGGCAGUGUGAAAAAACGCCACAAACGUAGGCGUUAAUAACGCUCGUGUGAGCUCACCCUUAUCCUGUAGUUGUGAUUAUUUAAUGUUGUAUACAGUGGGUAGUAGUAUAAAUGUACCAGAUUCAAUUUAAUGCGAAUGUGGUCUAUAAAUAUUGCUGAUUUUUUUUUAUUGUUGAGUGGAAAAAAGAAUUAUACCCAGCAUACUUUUAAUUCGAUAGGUGGAAUUUUAUUAUAAUAUUGUAAUAAGUUUUUAUGUUAAAUAUUACACAACAAUGAAAUGUAGUAAUCAAUUAUUGUAUCUCAUAUAAUAAGGUUUUAUUUCAUUUGACAAUAAUUGGGUUAUACAUAUAUUAUGCUGGAAUACAAUUGUAAGAGACAGUGUCUCUUAUUUAUGGCUUGUUCAUAGAAAAUACCUACUUUUUCUUUUAAUUUUUCUACUACAAAAACCAAAAGCCGAAUACGCCAAGUUUACCAAUGGGAGGCACCUUUGUACAGGUUGCCGGCUAGAUUGUGGGUCUUUUUUUUCUGCCGUGAAGCAGCAAUGUGUAAGCAUUAUUGUAUUUUUGUCUGAAAGGCGCCGUAGCAAGUGAAAUUACUGGGCAAAUGAGACUUAACGUCUUAUGUCUCAAGUUAACGAGCGCAAUUGUAGUGCCGGUCAGAAUUAUUUGGGUUUUUCUAGUAUCCUGAGUGGCACCGCAUUUUAAAGGGCAGGGCGUAUCAAUUACGAUCAGAGAAUGUCCUGCUCAUCUUGUCCCUUAUUUUCAUAAAAAAAGACAAGAAUUGUAAACAAUAUUAUUUUUAGCAACGUAGCUUUUAACUGGCAAUUAACUUAAACCUAAAUUGCUUUAAGUUGAAUUGAUAAAACUUGGAUCUUACUUCCAUCCACAAAGGCAUUAAAAACAUUCUCCAUAAUGGAAGCUUGUCGUUUUUGUAACAGUUAUAUUAUUUUCAUUUUGAAAGAAUUGUUUUAAAGGUGAAAUUGUGCCAAACUUUAUUAUUUAGUUGAUUUUUCAGAGAUUGGCUCAAUAGAUGUCAAGUUGGUCAAUGUUUACUUAUACAAUAUUUAUGUAAUGUUUUAUAUGUUAUAUGUAAUAUUAUUUAAGUGGAAUUUGAGUCCUAUUUUUAAGAAACUUAAUGUGUAAAUGUUGAUCUGUGGGUCUGUCACAUCUUUAUGAAUACCUAAGAAGAAAAUAAAAAACAUAGCUUUUCUGAUUUGGUGAUAAGCUAGAAACGUUGGUAUUUUCUGUAAACAGGCCUCCAUUUUUUUUAUAUAUUAUGUCCUGCAAACUUAUGACACAGAUUACAUAGAUUCUAUAAUUUACAAAAUAGAUUUAGUCAAGUUAGAAUACAUAGUGAAAGAAUUGAAAAAAGUAUUUUUUUUCUGGAGUCAUAAUUUUGUGUCUAGGGUUUGGAGGUGAGGUUUUAAAUUGCUUUUAAAUUUUUUGUCGUAUUUUGAGGUUUUAUUUUCUGCAAUGGGCUUUCUAUAUUUAAGUGACAUUGUAGCCAUUAGUAAAAUUAUUGUUGUCAAAAAUUAUUAUUUUUUUUUUCAAUUUUGUUGUAAUUGAAAUAGGCUUUUGACAUUUAUAAGUUUUGGCUGUUAUAUGCUAGCUGACAACAAUUAGUUUGUAGUUUCAUUUUAUUACUCACAAUAAAAUAUUAUGAGAAAUGUUCUUUUGUCCGAUAAAAUGUGAGUGAAAUAAAAAAAUAAAGUGUGAAUAUUAUAUAAGCAUUUACGUCACGUAUACAAAGCCAUGACACAGGCUAACAGUUUGGUGCGAUUUUGUGAAAUAUCUUACAAAACUGUCUUUUACUUUAUCAAAAAAUUAUUAUUGGCGCACGUUUUUCUAAAUCAUCAUUAGCAAAACAUAUAUGGUGAUGAUAAAGUUUUACGAUGGCCUUAUCAAGGCGAAUAUUGGUGACACAAUACAGUAAAAGAACAGUAUUUUAACAUCACACUAGAGCGCCCGAAUUGACACACACAUACACACGAUUUGCAUGGCCUCUUAGAAAUCUUAAGAACAUAACUAUUGAGUUCCACGCCGUACGAGAUACAGGUCGCUGUCCGAGUUAUAUUAGCUGCGUCGCCAAUCUGUUUGUAUGUACCAACCGUAGCGCUCCCCCAGACGUAGGUACCAGUGGGAGGCUCCAUUGCACAGGAUGCCGGCUAGAUUAUGGGUACCACAACGGCGCCUAUUUCUGCCGUGAAGCAGUAUUGUGUUAGCAUUAUUGUGUUUCGGUCUGAAGGGCGCCGUAUCUAGUGAAAUUACUGGGCAAAUGAGACUUAACAACUUAUGUCUCAAAGCGACGAGCGCAAUUGUAUUGCCGCUCAGAUUUUUUUUUUCAAUAAUCCUGAACGUUAAUGCAUUGUAAUGAGCAGGGCGUAUCAAUUACCAUCAACUCAACGUCCUGCUCAUCUCGUCCCUUAUUUUCAUAAGUAAAGGUAUAAAUUUCAAGGAGACCGCUGAGAUACGCUACUGUUCUAUUACUUGUACUGUGUCGUUUAUUGCUUCAAAAACGAAAUUGUGUCAUGACUACAAUAAUUUUACUUAUUUCAAAGUUUAUUUUACUUUUUAAACAAGCCCAAUUAGCACGCCGCGUUAUCUUUAAUUACCUAAGUAUUAUAAUUAUUUACGUUUACAAAGUCAUAUGUUUGAUCUGUGCAAUGUGUGAAUGGAUAUUUUAAUUUUCGCUUUAUUGUCUUCCUGAAAUAAUAUUAUAUUUUAUAACAUACAAAGGCCUAUCUAAAAAAGAACAAUUACGAGCAUUUUCAAUUAGUUAUAGUUUUUUUCCGCAUGUGAUUACAUAGGAUGUAAUUGUUGAAUUGCGAUAUAGAUAUAUAUAUAUAUAUAUAUAUUGGGGUUUUUGUGAAACUUAGAUAUACACAAAACAAUACAAAUUGUAUUGUUGGCUUACAUCUCAAAUUUACAGCAGUUUGUCUAUGGCAAUAUAACGACUAUUUGACGGAAGUUGUCACUGUCAGUUUGACAGAAACAAUGCCACUGGAGUGAGAGGUUAUUUUAUCAUUUAAAAUUCAUUAAGUAUUAUCAUCCUAGAAGCAAUAAAAAAUGUUGUAUUCAUAUGGUUAUAUUAAUUAUAUUUUAUUGAUUAGCCACUAGUGAUAUCACUCGAAAGUUUCACACAAACCGUUAGUAAUUGGGCAUUUAUUAUAUUCCCGAUAUGUAUGCAGUUUGACAGUAACAUAUACUCAACAUAGCAUUUGUCUAACCCGCGACUGCCCUAUUUCGUUUUAUGCUCAAUAGUUGUAUUUAGUGUUCGAAUUAACGAAGUACAGAGAGGUGGCGUAACUAGUUUAUUUUACCCGCUAGCUGUCUUAAGGUAUUUAGUCAAUUAUAGAUUAUGUUAUCCUAUUCCUUGUGUGUCUCAGUGACAACUAACUUAGAGAGCUAUGGUGAGAAACAAUGUAUUCAGAUCAAAUAAAAUAUAGUAUCACCAAUUUCUCUGUUUGUGUUUUUAGACAAUUAAUUAAUUCCUUCAAAGAGUUAUUUAAUCUUUCCAUCAAUGGUUUGUUCGAUAUUUUAAUAUUUAUAUAAGUAUAAGUAGAUAAUAAUUAUUCAAAUCGAAAAAUAAUUAUUACUUCCAGGCUUCUUAAAAUAGUCACUGAGAUGCACAUUUAUUGGUAUGCCUAUGUUGACGGAAUUUCGAUUUGACCGAAUAUAAAUGUCAAUAGCGCGAUAUUUGUCUAUUAUAGCGACAUCUGUUGUGAUUCGACGAUAUUCAAAACCAAUGCCAAAAAUUUUAUCUGUCCAUUCCCUCGAAGGCUCGAUCUAGUGGUUGGUUCUUUACAAUAAUAUAGCGGUGAUCACCCGCGUCCUGGCUGAAUAGUGGCGUUUGUUUUGUUCACAUGUUUCACUCGAAAGAUAAAUAUUUGUUCACAAACUAAAAAAUAUGACACACUGUUGACUAAAUAAAAACACUAUCAAAGUCUAAUCUAUCGCUCUAUAAUUUUUUUUGGUUAUAUAUCUUUAAACUUUCCUAUAAUUAUCUUAACCAAUUCAAAAUUAUUUUCUUUUCACUUGAUCUAUUAUUUUAAUACUUUAUAUAAUAAUAGAUUACUUCUUAAUAUUUCUCUUUAUUUUGCUUUAAAAUGUUAAGAUAUUUCCACGCACAUAACAUUGAAUCAUGUAUAAAUAGCAAGACAAAUAAUUAAAAAAACAUUACCACAGUGAAUCACACAGAUGGCGCUAAUACAAAAAGCACUUGGCGUAGAUCAGUAUUAAAAGUAAAGAGUAAUAUUCGUUGGAAGUCUCGCCUGUUGUUACUGCCAAGUACAUUUAAUUUAAGUAUAAGUUACGCUAAGUUCACCAGCGCCCCCUGCGUACGAGGCGGCCCUAGUUACUAUUAUUGUAAAGCUUAUGUUCGACCACUGCAUUUCUUAAUAACAUAGUUAUUUUGUAAUAUUGUGUUCUCAUUUUGUAUAUGAAGCUAAUGUUUCUUAAUGAAACGCGUAGCGACAAUGUGAAUACUAUACAAUUUAAAUAAAUGAAUUAUAUAAAGAG